UUUGCUAUCUAGGGGUACACGUAUGUGUACAGCAUAAGUUAUAGAAAAUUAGGAGUCGUAACUUUGUGUAUUUACCACAAUGCAUAGGUGUCCACCAGUACAAAUGAAGCAGGUUAUAUACUUAAGUUUUAUAUAACCUCCUUGGGACAAACUCUGCUCACCAAGGUAUGGCUGUAUGUACAGUCACGAGCAAAAGUUUGUGGACCAAAGGUGCUACGAUUUAAUUUUUUUUCUUUGCAGCCUGGGCAUUCUGGCUGAAAUUGAGCACACGCCUACGUGCACGUGUUCAACUAAUACAACGUAUUAAGCCAAUUCAAGACCGCAGAGCUGUGCUUGAAUAUAUUUAAUUUUUUUGGUGAUGCCGUGGUCUCCUAACUUUCGCUCGCGACUGUACAUACAUAUUAUGGGCAAUCGACAUGUGUUGGAGCUUGUUUUGUUGUAUUGUGGGAUGCGUUAUUCUCCUUCAUCAUUUGUUUAUCUCAGUUUAGUGUGUUCUUGGUAUAACAACAUUCUAUUCAAGAUAUAGUUAAUGCACGUGGAUUCAAGAUGACUGUCAUUACACGUACAUAGCCUUACUGAACAUCCUGCACGGUGCGAGGUUACAUUGAUUGUUAUAUUUUUUUACAGGGCUUUAAGGUAUCUCACCUCGGGAAAAAAGAAAGAACAAAAAGAAUGCAGUGUUAGAAAUGCAAAAUUGUGGUUCUUGUUCUGUGGUGAUUUUUAAACUCUUUGAGCAUAUGCAUUUAGACUAAAACUUACCUUUCUAUGAUCGUGGAAGUAGUGCCUAUAUAUGCUCUGGAUAGGCCCCACUGAGCUGCUGAACAUGAUAAUGCAGCUGUGUUAGUAAUGCUUGCCACCUUUUAUAGUUACUAAAUGUUACUAAUGUUACUGGUAUGAAAUGCAGCUACUUAACUGUUAGUAAUGCAUGCGAAGAGCAACUCCCAACUUUAUCACUAUAUAGCAAGACCCUUUUUUCUAGCAGUGAAGGGUUAAAAUUGGCUUAGUGUUGGCAAGGUUGGCUGUUGUAGCACGCUCUAUGUUGGUAGCUGAGCAUUGGCCAAUGUUAUGCCAGUAUCAGUUCCUAAAGUCAGACCUCUCAUGGCAGCCAACUUCAGGUCGACUAUGGCAAUGCUGACCAGGAAUGUAGGGCUGGUGUUGUGCUAAGGAUUUUCUUACCCAUGCCGUGCAACACAGGCCCAACAUGCUUGUACCAGAAGGGCAGACAGGGCCGAAUACCUGGUGUCUAAUGCACUUACUGUAGACCUACUUAACGGGCGCCAUGUUCUAAUACAAUGGUUCACCCAUUAUGGCUGUGAAGCUUCCUGCAUCCUUUGAAACCAUGCUACGCCACAUAUCUCACAUAUCGUAAGGAUGGACAGUCAGGCUUCCUGCAAGGUUUUUGCUAUUCCCUCCUUUGUCACUACCUUUUUAAUGACUUUAAAACUUGCAUGGAAACUCAUCCACAUUUAUGAGUGAUGGGGCAUUAAACAGUAAACGAAAACAAAUUGGCACACGCUCUUAUUACCUGGGUCAUACCAGCUGGUUCCCCUUGUUGCCUGCGCCACAUCAAGACUUGGAGAGCAAAAAACAGUUUAUCCUAAAAGAUUUGUGGCUCAGUUGGCGCACCCUGUACCUGCGCGCCAUUCAUUUAUGUCAUGCCAAGACAGCACUUACUGACAUGCCUUCCCUCACUCUUCGUUCACUGCUGACUAUCUGGUACAUCACAUACAUGGUGACUUAGGGCAGUUCAAGCACUGUGGUGGGUACCCAGACAAUUACCACGCCUUUUGGAGUGCCCUUGUGUCAAACCUGUCCUCACCCAAUACUUCGCUUCUUUCUAUCCUAACAGGUGUCAUUGAUCUUGGUGCAGACUGGAUCACUACCGCCACCACUGCUAAAGACCUACCAGCUUGAAGCCUGACAAGGUGUAGGAGAUCUCUCUUCAAUGGCUUCGUGCUGGGGUGGCCCUGACACCAUCUUUUCCCUUGGCCUGUGAACCAAUAACAACUUGACAACCAAGGAAUAUGUCUCCAGUACCCGGUUGCUGUGACCUGUGAUGCUUGCCAUCAGCCAAAGCAAGGCAGCAUUUUAGCCGAAUGAACCAGAGAACCACGACCUUUGGGUGACAGACAAGUUCAGAUACUUUGUUGCAGUUCCUGCAUGACAUGCAAAGCUACAUGUCUUUCUCACAUUUUCUUUAUCAUUAUGCCUUGCGGUAAAUCAUCCAAAUUAAAAAUAUAUAUUUUUUCUCACACGUAACUAGUGUAAUUAAGAGGAAGCUUUACGUUGGAGCCAGCUCCUAUUUCCACAUUCAAAUACAUUAGAAACAUAGAAAUUGUCUCAUUAAGCAACCGCUGAAUCAAUUUGUAUGAAAUUGUUUACAUUUCAGAGCGACACCUCAAUUCUGCCAACUGCAGGAAGCAGAAUUUUUAUUUAGAGGCUGAAAAUUUUUUUACAAAAACUGCUGGAAGCAAACUACUCUAAAACCAA